rnacentral:lncRNA from 1 species
AAAAAAAAUCCAAGGUGCCUGCUGGAUUUCUCUUAGAAAGAAGAAGAAGAAGAAGAAGAGGACAAAAGAAAAAAAAAGAAAAAGAAAGAGAGCAAAUGUGUCCCCUUUGGCCAUUUUCUGCAGGAAAAGAAAAACAAAGGCCUUCUUUCAACAUGACCUUAGUUGAGGGGCUUGUUCCCAGGAUUCCUCCUUGCCUGGGGCUGCAGGGCAGGGAAAUUGCAUUGCCACUUUAGCGGCUCUCUGUACAUUUUCGCCUGAAUGGCUUUGUCCUUGAACCAAAUGCUGCCUGGUUGUUGGCCAGAGAGGAAGUAGUUUGCCAUUUCUGCAACUCUUGCAGGCUGAUGACUCUCUCUCUCUCUCUCUCUCUCUCUCUCUCUCUCUCUCUCUCAAAAUGAGGGACGGAACUUGCAAAAUCGCAAAACUGGUGGAUUUUUUAUGCAAAUUGGCCUUUCUUCAACUCUAGAAAUAGACUUUUCUAUUUUUAAUUACCUUUGUAAUUUUAUGGAUUCUUUACAUGCAGAAGAGAGCAAAAGUUUCUUUCAAAAACUAAAAGGCAGGCAACAUGUUCAUAUCGUUAUCGUCGCAGCCGUUACCCUUUUCCCCAUUUUUGGCAAGUUAAAAAAAAAGACUUUGCGACAUGGACUAAGUUGAGGGGCUUAUUUUCAGAAUUUCUCCACCCCUGGGGCUCGAGGAUAGGUGAAUUGCAGCCUCGGUAAAGGGGGUCUCCAUGCAUUUUUACCUAAAUUGCCUUAUUCUAGAACCAAAUUCUGCCUGGUUGUUGGCCAGAGAGGAAGUGGACCUGCAUUUCGGCUACUCUUGUAGGCUGAUGACUCUCUCUCUCUCUCUCUCUCUCUCUCUAUAUAUAUAUAUAUAUAUAUCAUAUUGCCCGGACUGGUAUUUUGUGCAAGGUGAUGGUGAUGAAUGCUACAUGAUUGUGACUUUCUGCGGAAAGUCCUUCAGUGUGAUCGACUAUAUAUAUAUAUAUAUGCGAAUGUAAAGUUGAGCUACAAUCAAUAGUAGCAACCACUAAACCUAAACUCUGGACCCUAGACCCUAUUGAUCCAUGGGUCAAAAACUUGGUCGCGGCCGCCACUUUGCUACUAUCAAUAGUAUUUUAGCCCCACAAUAAAUUUAUACAUCUAUAUGAAUUCUCUUUCUCUUAUGUGUUACUCUUUUGGGUAAACUUCAAAUACCACCCCUAUGGUUUCGCACUUUCUCACUUUAGUAACCCUGUGGAUUAAAGUGUAUUAAGUUAGUAUCCUGUGGUUUCAUUUUUCUCUUUUCGCCUGCUCCUCCGUUAACAUUUCGUUAAAUUAUAUACAAAAUAUGCUUUCUUCAAAAUAUUUUUUCCCUUCUUUUCCUUCUUGGAGGCGAUGAUGAUAAACACCGCAUCACUGCAAUUUUGUGAGAAGAUGUGCUAUUCUCAUGCAAUGCCAUUAUUUUUCUCUUUCCAUAUGUGUGCAUGUACGCACACACGUUCAUAUAUAUAUAUAUAUAUAUACACAUCUAUUUCUUGGACCUGGUUCACCACAUUUGUUUACUACCCAAUGAAAUGCUUGAUUCUUUGGCGAUGUUGGCUGGGCAGCUGGAUGGCCUUCAACUUGCAGGCAAUGGCUGCAGCUACAUCUCCAGUGUUAGACUGGUGUAUAUGAUUAAUUUUUCCUUUGGUGUUAAAUCUGAGCCUCCGUCAAUCUUUUGCACUUUUUGCUCUCUCUUGUUGCAUUCACUGGUUCUUUACCACUGAAACUGAGCAAAAGUUAAUCCGCAAAAAAAAAAAAAAAAAAAUUCAAGGUGCCUACUGGAUUUCUCUUAGAAAGAAGAAGAAGAAGAGGACAAAAGAGAAAAAAAGAGAGCAAAUGUGUUCCCUUUGGCCAUUUUCUGCAGGAAAAGAAAAACAAAGGUCUUCUUUUAACAUGACUUUAGUUGAGGGGCUUUUUCCCAGGAUUCCUCCAUGCCUGGGGCUGCAGGGCAGGGAAAUUGCAUUGCCACUUUAGCGGCUCUCUGUACAUUUUCGCCUGAAUUGCUUUGUCCUCUAACCAAAUGUUGCCUGGUUGUUGGCCAGAGAGGAAGUAGUUUGCAAUUUCUGCAACUCGUGUAGGCUGAUGACUCUCUCUCUCUCUCUCUCUCAAAAGAGGGACCGAACUUGCAAAAUCUCAAAACUGGUGGAUUUUUUAUGCAAAUUGGCCUUUCUUAAACUUUAGAAAUAGAAUUUUCUAUUUUUACUUACCUUUGUAAUUUUAUGGAUUCUUUACAUGCAGAAGAGAGCAGAAGUUUUUUCAAAAACUAAAGGCAGGGAACAUGUCCGUAUCGUUAUUGUUGCUGCUGUUACCCUUUUGGCCAUUUUUGGCAAGUUGAAAAAAAAGACUUUGCGACAUGGCCAUAGUUGAGGGGCUUUUUCAGAAUUUCUCCACCCCUGGGGCUUGAGGAUAGGUGAAUUGCAGCCCCGGUAAAGGGGGUCUCCAUGCAUUUUUACCUAAAUUGCCUUAUUCUAGAACAAAUUCUACCUGGUUUUUGGCCAGAGAGGAAGUAGACCGGCAUUUCUGCUACUCUUUUAGGCUGAUGACUCUCUCUCUCUCUCUCUCUCUCUCUCUCUCUCUCUCUCUCUAUAUAUAUAUAUAUAUAUAUAUAUGGGUUAAUUUCAUACAGCUCCCUGCAAAUAAUAUCUCUCUCUCUCCCUCUCAUACUGCCUGGACUGGUAUUUUGUGCAAGGUGAUGGCAAUGAAUUCCACAUGAUUGUGACUUUCUGCGGAAAGUNCAAAAAAAAUAACAGCUAAUAUUAGUGUUAAUGAUAAAAAUAACAAAAACUAAUACAUAUGUGACACUAUGUUCAAUAAUAAAGGAUCUUAGAACUUACUAUGAGUCCAAAUUUGCACCUAAAAACCCUUAACGGGUACCGGAUCCAACCCGACCCGAUAGUUACCUACACCGCCUUUUCUUUUCCCCCUAUAAAUACCCUCGAACCCGGGAGUCUUCGUUUCCCCGCUCCCCUACUCCCGUUCGGGUUUUUUAGUCCAAUAGUCUUCUCCUAAAAUUUUAUUCUAAAAAUAGACCUGUUAAAUUUUUAUUUAUAAACAUAGUCCUAUAAAAGCGAUGAAUGGUUCACCGCUUUUAAAUACGGUGAACCAUUCACCGUUUUUUUUUUUUUUCUCACUUUUUUCUAUAUGUUGGUUUGUAUUUGUUUCCUUUUGCUUUGAUUUUUUUUUGGUUACUUUAAGCGGUUCUUCUCUUCUUGUUUUCUUUCCAAUUCCCUUGAUCCAAACCUGAGCGACUGCUGUAUUUAGCAGCUUGUUACGAGAAGUCUGCAAGGGUAUUUGUGCAGUUCCGCACUCUGCAGGGAUAUAUAUAUAUAUAUAUAUAUAUAUAUAUAUAUAUAUAUAUAUAUAUAUAUAUAUAUGCGAACAUUCAUCUUCAUUUCGGAUAGUGUCUCUCAGUGUAUCGAAGGUUUUAUUACAACCAAAAGGUGGUUCUAGAGGUAGCAUCGCUCUUCAUUUAUUAUAUAUUGCUAUCUGCAUUGCCGAACUCAAAAAAUAAGGUAAGAUAAAUAAUAAAUUGGUUGAAGGGAAAGUUACCUGUUCAUAUUAUCUAAUUUCGACGUUUUGCUGACCCAGGGGCCUAAAUGUAUAUUGAAGUUACAUUAUUUUUCAGUCGGUACAUAUGUAUAAUUUGAUUGCUAUAUAUAUAUGUAAGAGAGAGAGAGAUAGAGAGAGAGAGAUGAGAGAGAGAGAGAGGUCCGGCUUACUCUGCAUAUCAAUAGCACCAAGCGCUUGGUGCUACUAAGUCUUUGGCGUUAGAUCUACCCCAUCUGUUAGAUCAUACUAUUCACCAACCAACCCUCUAACCUAGGCGCGACAUGUGUUCAUCUAAUCACAUCCCUUAUUCAGAGGCCGGAAAAGCUAAUACACAAUGAGUUAGGUGCAUUGAAUAGUUAUAGAGCCACUAUGUAUUGAUUAUAUUAUAUUAUAUAUAUAUAUAUCUAUUAUAUAUAUAUAAUUAUAAUAUAUAUAUUAUUGGAGGCUAGAGUUCAAGCACGAUGAAUAGUGCUUGCUCACUGUUUGAAAGCAGCCAAGAUCGCUAUAUAUAUAUAUAUAUAUAUAUAUAUAUAUGUGCAUGUAUAGUUGAGCUACUAUCAAUAGUAGCAACCACUGAACCCUAAACUCUGGACCCUAGACCCUAUUGAUCCAAGGGUCAAAAAGUUGGUCGCUGCCACCACUUUGCUACUAUCAAUAGUAUUUUCGCCCCACUAUAAAUAUAUACAUCUAUACAAAUUUUCUUUCUGUUAUGUGUUACUCUUUUGGGUAAACUUCAAAUACCAUCCCUGUGGUUUCGCACUUUCUCACUUUGGUACUAUGUGGUUUAAAGUUGAGCUACUAUCAAUAGUAGCAACCACUAAACCCUAAACUCUGGACCCUAGACCCUAUUGAUCCAAGGGUCAAAAGUUGGUCGCAGCCACCACUUUGCUACUAUCAAUAGUAUUUUAGCCCCACUAUAAAUAUAUACAUCUAUAUAAAUUCUCUUUCUGUCAUGUGUUACUCAUUUGGGUAAACUUCAAAUACCAUCCCUGUGGUUUCACACUUUCUCACUUUGGUACUAUGUGGUUUAAAGUGUAUUAAUUUAGUACCUUGUGGUUCGAUUUUUCUCUUUUUGCCAGCUCCCCCGUUAACAUUUUGUUACAUUAUAUACAAAAUAUGCUUUCUUACAAAUUUUUUUUCUUUCUUUUCCUUGGAGGCGAUGAUGAUAAACACCGCAUCACUGCAAUUUUGUGAGAAGAUAUGCUAUUCUCAUGCAAUGCCAUUCUCUUUCUUUCUUUCUUUCUUUCUUUUUCUUUCCAUAUGUGUGCAUGUACACACACACACACACACACAUUCAUAUAUAUAUAUAUAUAUAUACAUCUAUUUCUUGCACCCGGCUCACCACAUUUGUUUACGACCCAAUGAAAUGCUUGUUUCUUUGGUGAUGUUGGCUGGGCAGCUGGAUGGCCUUCAACCGUGCAGGCAAUGGCUGCAGCUACAUCUCCAGUGUUAGACUGGUGUAUAUGAUUAAUUUUUCCUUUGGUGUUAAAUCUGAGCCUCCGUUAAUCUUUUGCACCUCCAUUGUUUUUCUAUCAACAUUACGAGUUCUUGAACUUUUAGUCAAGUUUCAUUUUGGUCCUCAAACUAGCUGUUGCUCUUCUGGGCCGAUGACCCUCUCCCUCUAUUUAUUCGCCUGGUCUUUCUCUCGGGGAGAAAUGGUUACCUGGCAUCAUGUCAAACGGAUUAGCUGUCGAAUACCAAUUCUAUUUGGAAUAACUGUGACAGAGAAUACUCUUUACAAGAAAUUUGUUGCUUCCACCUGGUGCACUACAUCAACCGUGUUAACAGGACUUGUGGAUGGCCUGGUGCUGUGCAGGCAACACCUGCAACUACUUGCUAAGAGGUGGUCUUGGUUAUAUUUCUGCUGAUAAAGACAGCCAUGGGGGUUUAUUUUGGCAAACAAGAGUCCAUUUUCUUCUCCUCCCACCCUUUUUUCUAUUAAUUUUUUGUUUUUAAAAGAAAACAUUGAAGUCUAUACUCUCUUUCUUAAGGCAUAAAUUGCACUGUUGGUCCUUGAACUUUUGGCCGAAGUUUCAUUUUGGUCCUGGUAAGUAAGCAGCUGCUCUUUCAGUUUCUCUCUCUCUCCCUCUCUCUCUCUCUCUCUCUCUCUCUCUCAGUUAUUACCUGGACUCAUAUAUACCUGUUGUUCUUAAUAUCUUAGACAGGAGUAGGCGGGGCAACUGGAUGGCCUGCUGCUAUGCAGGCAACAGCUGCAGCUACUGUCUAGGAGGGAAAUUGCAUUGUUAGUUCUCAAACUUCGAGUCAAGUUUCAUUUUGGUUUUGGUAGGAGCUGCUGUUCUUCCGGGCUGGCUCUCUCUCUCUCUCUCUCAAACAAUCUCAAGAUAGCUUUUCGUAAUUUUCUGAGGGGUAAAUCUCAUAGGACUUUCCUAACCUUUUACCGAAGUUUCAACGAAGUUUCAAGUGAGUCCCUAAUCUUCUAAUUGGUGUAUUGAGGUCCUUAAACUGUUUCCCGAGUUUCAAUUGAGUCUCUCUUUUCCUCUCCUCUCUUUCUCUAGUAUUUAAUAAUGUGCCUCUUACUCGUGCCCAAACUACUUAGCCUUAGGGAAUGGUCAUGAAGACUAUGACAUACAACCUUCGUAUAUGCCUAAGCAGCGCACAUGAUGAUGAUUGUGUGGAUUGCACAAUCAGACAUACUAUAUGGAAAAACCAAGUUAAUAUGAUUGAGGCUAUAGAGAUACCUUUCUUUCCUCUGUUACUUCUUUAACAACUUUGGCAGCACAGGUUUUAGUUGUGAUAAGGGAGACGAGGAACUUCUGCCCCUCCUUUUCUUGUCUUCCUGUGCUACAAUUUUCUUGUGGAGUUGAAAACAUUUCUCUUCUAUUUUGCUCUAUUAUUCGGUUGUGUUUUUCCUCUGAUUUUUUUUUUUUUUCGUUUUCCAUUUUUCCAUUUGAUUCCCCCUUUUCACAUUGAAUAGUUUAAUGAAGGGUAAAUUACACUUUUGGUCCUCAAACUAUGAGACGCGUGACACUUUGGUACUUAUUUAUGAACUUCGGAAAUGGUUCGGUACUUAUUCGAUGGACCUCUUACAUGUCCACAUAUUAUAGGCCAAAAAACAACUGCCUGUAAGGGCAACUCUCUUUGUGACCUGUAGCAGUACUCUCUCUCAAAUGAAGAGUUCUGUACACAUUGUGCAGUGCAACUUUAUUCCAAUAGAGUUAUAUAUAUGUGGCACUGAUAAUAUGAUUGUUUGACUUGUUAGCCGAGUUUCUGGUGACUUUCUGAGGUACUCUAAAUAAUGCUCCGCCUUAGUAGAUGCGAGACAGCCCUUCGGCUCGAAGGGAGAUAAUUGAGGCCGACGAAAAGAAUUAACCGUCGGCUUAAUGCCCUCUGUUCUUGUUCUUGUUCUUGUUCUUGUUCUUCUCUCUCUCUCUCUCUCUCUCUCUCUCUCUACAUUUAUCUAUAUUUAUACCUAUAUGUGUAUAUUUGUUUAGGGACAAUUGCCUAUAUACUUCUGAGCACAUUCCUACUUUCAUAUAUAGCCCUCAAAAACAUGUAUGCUGAAAUGUACCCUUCUAACAAUCCAAAUUCUUUUCAAUAAACCCUCAAAGCAGGGGUAUCUGAGAAAACGAGGUCAAAGAUAAAACUCUGUAAUUUUUCAAGUUUGCAGAGGCAAUUCUGCCAUUUGUGUAUAUGUUUUGUAUGUAUGUGUAUAUUGCUUUCCGUGAGGCAAUGAAGGUGAUCACAUCCUCGCGGCUGCAAAUGUUGUGGGUAUUGACUUUCGGAAAUACUGGUCUAUUGACUGCGUUCCAUGCAAUAAUUUCUCCUAUAGUUGAGGGGGUCUCUGUAUGUUUUAACCUAUAAUUCUUUAACUAUUUUGUCCCUUUUGCCUCGUGAAAAUCACAUCUUCUGGCCUAAGUGGGCUAACUCCAAUUAAACAUGUCUCUAGAUGUUUGCUGGCUGGAUUAGAAUGCUAUCAAUAUGCAUCUGCUCUUCAAUGGUGAUGACUCUCUCUCUCUCUCUCUCUCUCUCUCUCUCUCUCUCUUUAUCUUUUUCUUCUGUCAGAAAAUUGUUUCCUGCUCUUAAUGUACCAUGUCAUCCAUUUACUUGUCAAUUCUUUCUUUAUUGAUGUUGGCAGGGCAGCUGGAUGGCCUUCUGUUUUGCAGGCCAUUGCUGCAGCUACAUUGUAUUUAUAAGGGUGGAAUAUAUGUGGGUUUCUUUGCACCAAGUCUGAGCCUCGGUUGAUCUUUUCAUCCCUCUUAUAUGAAAAGGUUAAAAUGUAUAGAACUUGCCUAAAUUAUGCGCCAUUUUGAAUUGGCUACCCAAUCUUUCAAAAUCUUUCAAAAUUUUGAUUUUGCUAUUUAGCCUUUCAAUAUGUUUGAUUUGAGUCAGUCAACUAUAUUUUGACUUCAAAAUUUAAGCUAAUUACUUUAAUGAAUGUAUAGUCGCGAGAAUUGCAUGAAGUAUGCUAGCUAAACCUGCAAAAAUAAAAGACGCAUUCAAAUUUUAAAGUUGAAGUGCUGUUGAUUGACUCGAAUUAAACAAAUUGAAAUGUUGGGUAGCAAAAUCAAAAUUUAAAAGAUUGGACAGUCAACUCAAAAUGAUCAAUAGUUUAUUGAAGGUCUGUAUGCUUUCACCAUAUAAAAACAUCUUGCUUGUUUGCUUUUCUUUUUUCUAUUUUAUUUUGGGGUUUUGGUUUGGUUCAUUGCAUUUAUUUUCUUAGUAUGUUGAUAUUGGCUUUGUAACACAAAUUGGUUUUUGACUUGUACUUCAGUUCUUCUUUCCUCUCCUUUUGCUGAGACAAUGAAGUUAUUAUUUGAAGCUUUUCUUAUUCUUUAACUUUUGUUCUUGAUAUUACCAGUUUAUUAAUUUGUAUUUGUUUCUUGUGAAUUCUUUGAUGAUCAUUUUAUAUUGUUGAACUUCAAAAUUAGGUCUCUAUUUUUCCCCCUUAAUUUCACUGAUUCUUUACAACCGAAACUGAGCAAAAGUUUCUUUCAAUAAUAAUAAUAAUAAUAAUGAUACAGCGUAAGAGCCUACGGGAUUUUUCUCAGCAAGAGAAGCUCUUCCCAGGAUUUAUCCACACGUGGGGCUGUGGUGCAGGGAAAUCGCAGCGUCAGUUUGGAGGGUCUCCAUGCAUUUUUACCUUACUCGCCUUAUUCUUGAGACAAAUGAUGCCUUGUUGUUGGCCUGAGAUGGAGGAGACUGCCAUAUCUGCUACUCUUGUCGGAUGAUGACUCUCUCUCUCUCUCUCUCUCUCUCUCUCUCUCAUAUUACCUGGACUGGUAUUUUGUGCAAGAUGAUGGCAAUGACGCACGACAUCUUUGUGACAUGCUCCAGAAGUCCUUCAAUUGCUGUUUGCCAGCCCAUGACUUGUUUUCUCUACCCUUGGGCGUGGUGUUAGACUGUUGUCUUGCUCUCUCUCUCUCUCUCUCUCUCUCUCUCUCUCUCAACAUUAUGCAUAGAUACAAGGGCCAAAAAAUUGAUAGUAGCAACAACUUGCUAUUAUCAAUAAUAUUGUAACUCUCUCUCUCUCUCUCUCUCUCUCUCUCUCUAUGUAUAUAUAUAUAUAUAUAUAGAACUAGGCUAGAAUACUAUUAAUAGCACCAAGUCAUUGGUGCUAUUAGGUUUUCGGCCCCUUGGAUAAAGGGAUGUGCGAAUGUGCGGUUAGCAUGAUUGUGAUCCUUGGGUUUAUUGAGUGGUUGGUGGAAUAGUAUGAUCUAAAGGGUGGAAAUGGUUAAAGAGGUAGAUCUAAUAGCGGAAAACCUGAUAGCACCAAGUGCUUGGUGCUAUUGAUAGUAUUGUAGCCGGACUCUGUGUGUGUGUGUGUGUGUGUGUGUGUUGUUUAUCUGAAAUAGUGUUGAUAGUAAGUGAAGGCUGUUUGCUAUUAACUUUUCAGCCCUUGGGUCAAUAUGAUUCCACCUACCACUGCUAAACACUAGGCAUCCGAGAGCUAAAAAGUAAACACUAAACCCUAAACCCUUCCUCUGUUCUUCUUUGCUCUCCCUUUUCCAAGGAAAUCAAGGUACUAAUUUGAAGCGUGGCUUUAUCUUUAUGUUUUUUCCUCAAUUCUAUUUGUUUAUUGGUUUGUAUUUGUUUUCUUUUGAUUUAUUGAUUUUUUUAUUUGAAUAAACUUCAAUUUUCCUCCCUGGUAUGGCAUAUUUUCAAUUUGGUGAAUUAGAAGUUACUGUUUCAUAUAUCUAAUUGCACUUUUUUCGUCACCUGGGGCAAAGUAAGUAUAUGUGAAUUUACAGAUUUUGCAGUGGUAUGAUUUUGUAGGAAUAUGUUUCUCUUUCUUUAAUGCCUAACUCUUUUUAGCAGGGGGUCUUCCAAAUGGCAUGGUUUCGUCAAUUUUUUUUGUUCUUUUCCUUUCUGGAGGCAAUGAUGAUAAACGCCACAUCACAGAGUCGAUAAAUGCUACUAAACAUCUGUAGUUUUUGGAAUUGCUACAUGCAAUGCAUUAUCUCUCUUCAUCUUUUUUUUUUUUUUCUUUUUCUUUGAAUAUGUGUGUAUAUAUAUAUAUUUCUUGCAUCCGGUGCACCACAUUUGUUUACAACCCAAUGAUAUGCUUGUUUCUUUGGCGAUGUUCGCUGGGCAGUUGGAUGGCCUUCCACCGUGCAGGCAACCCCUGCAGCGACUUCACCAUUGGUAGACUGGCGUAUAUGAUUUAUUUUACUUUCGGCGUUAAAUCUGAGCCUCCAUCGAUCUUUUUUCGUCCCCCAUUUGUGUUUCUAUCAACUGGAAGACAUAUUGCAAUUGUUCUGUUUCUUCUAUUUAUCUUUCUUGGUGUGAAUUGAUUGAUUUUGAAGUUUUGAUUUGAUUGUUAUCGAUCCUCUAUGGUGUGAUUGUUACAAAGUAGAUUUUUUCCCCCCUUUCUCAUGAAAAUUUUGUGAUGCCGGCUGCUAUGCUCGUCAGCUGUGAGCUACCUGCUGGUUGAGUUGCUUAUAUUGCGAGCAGUAAUGCAAAGUAUGCUGGAUUUUAUAUAGGGUAAACUUCAAAUAUCAUUCCUGCAGUUUCGCACUUCUACACUUAGUAUUUUGUGUUUUAAAAUGUAUCAAUUUAGUUUCUUGUGGUUUUAUUUUUAUUUUUAUUUUUUUUCGCCAGCUCCUCUGUUAAUAUUUUGUUAAAUUAUAUAUAAAAAGCUUUAGAUAUCCUAUCUAGGUUUAUUGAAUAUUUAUUUAAGUACUUUUUAGUUUUAAUUUUGUUAUUGAUUUAACGAAAAAUCUAGCAGAGGGGGAUAAUAAAAAGAGAAAUAAAAUCACGGGGUACUAAAUCGACACAUUUUAAUCCACAGUUGGAUGGCUUGUUGCUGUGCAGGCAACUGCUGUGGUUAUUGUUGCCUUUGGUCAAGCACUUGAACAUGGUGAUUGCUGAGGUGUUUGAAUCUAGUGUGGCAAAUAUGAGGUGAUUCUCAGUUUAUACCCCCUGUAUUUUCGUUUAGGGUGUGUUUGAUUACUCGUAAAAAUGGUCAGAAAACUCCUUUCAGUCUGAAAAUUUGUUUUCGUUCGUUUGUUGAGCUGUAAAAUUGUUUUCCUUGUAAAACUUUUUUACAUAUUAUUAUAACUGGGCCUUUUUGUUUUCCGCCAAAACUUCGUGGAAUUGUGGAAAACGUUUUGGCGGUAUUGUGGAAAACGAAAAGCUCUUGCUGCAAAAAAUAAAUAAAUAAAUAAAUAAAAACACCGGUGUGUAUAUGUGCACGGCAAUUAAAAGAUCAUGCGGUCCACCCACUAAGAAACCAAAUGUCUGAACCAAGUGCACCUACAAAUACUAGAGAUUAUUGUAUACUUGGUGUAUUCAUAUAUGUACACUAUUUUCAUCUAACAUUUUUUUAUAAAUAUAUGUCUAUUCCAUUUUGUAUACAGCAGUUGUUUAAAAUUUAAAAUUUGGGUAGUUAAAUUGGGAGUACGAAAUAAAUUGGUGGUCUUUUGAAGCUGGUUGUGUGAGUUCAUGGGUGUGCGAGAGGUGCACAAAUAAUUUUUUUUUUCUUGUGGAUCUCCCACCAACAGUGUAAUAGUAAUGUGUAUAGUAUGUGUAUAAAAUAAAAUGUAUAAUACUAUUUCUACGCUAUAUAGGAAACAUAUAUUAUAUAAAUGGUUUUUUCUACAUGUUUUCCUUUCAACCAAACAAACAUUGUUGGAAAACUAUUUUUUCUUUUCUACGAACCAAUGUAAAAUUUUUGUUCCACGAAAAUUUUUUUUCACCGAAUAUAUAUAUAUUUUUUCCCAGUGUUACGUUGAACUAAACUUCUUGUUUAGUAAAAGUACCUAGGUGGCCUUUUUGUUUUCCUCCGCAUUUUGGCCUCUAGUUUGUUGAUUUGGCUUUGCUUAUUUUAUGAAUCUGGCCCAUUUCCCUCUUUUCUCAGACUGAGCAUAGUGUAAUAUGCAUGUACUUGAUCUUGAGAGGUGAUAAUGUGGAGCUAGUUGUAUCUUGAUGAGUCUAUUAUGUUACAGUUCUACCAGAACAUCAAUAAUAAAUCAAUCAUAUAUAUAUAUUUUUUUAAAAGAUAGGUAGCACGCUACCCAUUUCGUUUAUUUCAGUUAGAAAUAAACUUAGCUGGAAAUGUGNUAUAUAUAUAUUAAGAGAAUUUUAAAGAAAAUAUUUUUUAAUAAUUAUGAUGGGAUGGGCAAAUUUAAGGGGAAUAAUUUGAUUGGUUGAGAAUGCUACAUCAGCUAUAUAAUAAUCGGUGCAUUGUAGGCUUUUCACUUAGUGUAAGAGUGUUGUUUGGUUGCUGCUGUUUUUCGUGCUUUCAAGAACUCUCUGUACAUGGGAUGCUUGAAAGGUGGUAGAAGGAAAGCAUGCUAUGUUUAUUAUGACUCUCCAGGAGGUGGAAUUAAAGCAUUUGUGUAUUGCGCUGGUAUUAUGGAAACAUUGUAGUUACCGCAUUAUUAUUUUUUUACAGGUGCUCUUAUUGGCAUCUGAUUUGCAUGUAUUUUUGUGUGAAGUAGUAGCAAAAUGUUAUGAUUUGUGCUAUACGGGUGCAGUAAUCAAGCUGAAAGGUUUUUUUUAAAAUUUUUGUUCACUAGAUUAUUCUAUGUGUAGGGCAUCUUUCAUUGUCUUUAAAUGAGAGUUGGUGAGUCGUAACCCUUUCCUUGUUUACGUCAGUGUGGCUUAUACGCAAGUGGUAUUUAUAUGCGGUUACUUGAAUACCGCAUUUAAGUUGUUCGAUUGAUUUUUCUAGUAAUUUGAUUGAUUUUAAGAAAAAAACUGCUAGAAACAUGAAAAUUUAAGGAGUUGCUGACUAACUGAUGCCAAAAUUUAAAGUAGUGCACUGACAAAUUCCAAAAUCAUGUAAUUACACAUCUCUCAUGUUUUAUAGGCUACGGAACAGAGAAAUUAAAAUCAUGCAUACGACAGUAAUAUUUCAACUUAUUAGACGGUACUUUACUGCUGUAUUAAUACCGGUACCUCUGAAGUAUAAAAGAUUAUUUACAAUGUAAAUUAAAAAAUACUCCGCAAGAACGAUACCAACCAACAACACCAUUGGGUUCGGGUACAAAAAAUUUCUGAAAGAUGAAAGCAAUUGAAGUUCGAAAACACGGUUAUCACUGUCAAAAAUGAGUUUUAGUAGGAAUGCUCAUGCUUUCAAUGCCCCAGCAGUGUAGAUUCCGAAUGCUUUUGCUAGCCAAUCUCCUUUCAUACCUGAAAUCCUCGACGACGCCACCACCGGAGCAUUCCUUGCUGGCUGCAUUGAGAAUUGCCCUGUUAAACCCUACCCUUGCCGAAGGCCUGCAACUCAUUUUUGCAUAACAGAUGCAGAAGAACACACGUGCGCGCCCACGUUUCGAGAGAAACUUUAAACUCGCGUAGGAUGGCUCUUGAUUGCUCUUGACGAAGGGAACCGGCUCUUUCUUAACAAAUAUAGUUCUUCUGGGAGCUGGGCUUCGCCGAUGAGCUCAUUCAGAUAGAGCAGUUAGAGCCCUGCAAUGUCGCAAAGCGGAGCUGCUUUGAUAUAUCACGGCGGAAAAGAUCUGUGAUUUCUUUGCUUCCAUAAUGACGAUCACAAAAUAUCGACAAUAUCGAUCUCAUUGGCACGUAUAAUUAGUUCCGCGGUUUCGUCGUCCAAAUCUAUCUGAUCUCUUGCCAUCAUCUUAGGGAUAUUCGGGGGAGCUCUCUUAGUAUUUAUACAUACUCUUAUAAAGGAUUUGUACAAUGGCAAGCUCAUGAUAUUCAGUUUUCUUAGAACCUUCACAUACCUCUUCGCGUUCUCAAAAUCACCUUCCUCCUCAAAAUGCUCUGCUAUGGCCUCCACAAUCGCAGGAUUCGGCCUCCAACGACAAAACUUCAACAAAGAAAAGCCCUUUUUCAUGGCCUCUACAGCUUUCUCCAUCUCCCUGUUCUUCACCCAUCCUUCCAUUAAAAUUUCCCAUGUCUUGUAAUUUGGUUUGGCACCUUUUUCCAAAGUAUAGAGGUGAAAUUUCUCAGCCUUUUCCAUCCACCCAUUCCUCACAUAAGCACCCAGAAGAACAUUCGAUACUCGGACAUCAUACUUAAAGCAUUCUGAUUCCCAAGUUCUAAAGACCCUCUCUGCCGCCCCUAUAUCACCAACUUUAAUCAAACACAACAUAACACACAUGUAAUUUACACAAGUGAUUCUACUUGGUACCUUUUUACUAGCUUCCCAAAGCCUAAUAACCCCUUCCCUAUCCCUCAAAGAAGCAUAGAUUGUCAUGAUGAAAGAAUAGCCCAGCCGUUUCCUUGCUGAAAGCUUCUGUUCAGCUGUUCUAAGGGCUUCAAAAGCUUUCUGGAUAAGCCCGUAUUUUAUGUAGAUAUUAGCUAAGGUCGAGUGCGUGCUCCAACCAACCUCGAUGUCCUUAUCAUUCACCAUCUCCUUAAGCACCAUCUCUACAGAAGUUGCAUUAGAAACUUCCGCACAUGCAUUCAUCCAAAGGUUGUAGGAAACAACAUUAAGAGGGAUCUUACUGUUUUUCAUAUGCCUAAUAACUGCCAGAACCUUUUUGUAUUGACUUGUGGCCACAUAGAGCUUCAUCAUUUCAUCGAAAAGGUAAGGAUUCACGGCUAACCCGUAGUUUUGCAGCUUUGCCAUUAGGGUCUCGGCUUUUUCCAAGUCCCGUGCCUUAACAUAAUAAUGGAGGAGAGGAAAAGAUGCAGCCUUCUUUGAAGCACUGGUUGAUAAUUUCCCGAAGUACUCCUCAGCUUCAGAUAUAUUGCGAAGUUUGGUGAUCAAAUCCAAUAUGGCUGCAUGAUCAGACGAUGCUAAUUCAAACUUUCUGCAUGACUCCAUCCAUGUUAAAAUCUGCAGUGUGAUGGAAGAAAUGUUCAUAUUUACAAUUUUAGGGUUAAACUGAAACAAGACAAGCAAAUUGCAAUGAAUAGAAUGAAAAUGUUAACAAGUUCUUUAUAUAUAACAGAAAAUUUAUUGCGCCAUAAUGAAGCUUGAUCAUUUUGAUCUUACAAUACGGGGGGAAAAAAUAAUAAACAUGAAGAGUGAUUUUCUGUCUGGGAAGGGAAAAUUUGGCAAAUGAUUCCGACUUGGUCUGGCAGAGAUCUGCUUUCUGCUGUGGAACUGUGGAAGGUGCCAAACAAGUGUUGUCCAUCUUCUUACAGAACAUUAGAUGGUUGGACAGCAGAACCUUGUAUAAACUGCUAGAUUGGAGUUAUGUACAGACAGGCAGCAAAUCUUAGCUUUAAAUCUUAUGCAAUCAACUCGAUCCUGCAGCAGGGCUGUUCAUAAAUUAACUCAAGUUUAUUUGAGAAGCUAUAAUGCAGAGAUCAAAUCGUUCGAAAAUACAAACACUCCAAUGUUGUAUCCAUCAGGCAAAGCAUAUACUGCUAGCAGAGACCCCGAGAAAACCAGAACUAUCGAAUUGCUUCCUUAAUAAAAUCUUUGAUAUUCUUCAAUUGCUCAAGCAUGUAAAGUAUAUUUAAACGAGAAAGUAAACACGAAUUCUCCAAAUCACCACCUGAGAAGUCUCAUCUGUGAAAGAUUCAUAUCUCCUCUAUUCUUUCUCGGUACGGAUAUGAAAGUUAUCCAUUUUCCGUACCAUGCGAGUGUGCCGCAACAGUAACAAAAUUAUUGUAAAAUACGAAGCUAAGCGCCAGUAACAUAUUAUCGAUAAUGUUAUCUAGUCUAUCUGAGUAUCAUCAUCAAAAACAAUUCCUAUCUGGGCUAUUAAUUCCAAACACCUGCACAAAGAUCUUCCUAAAAUACAAAACAUAUCAACAUGCUCCACUGCAUUAACUUCAGUCAUGCAUACCCAAUAUCAAAGAUAAUGCCCAAUUAGCAAAAAUGUCAGAGUACAUUCACACAUAGUUGUCGAGUUUGCUGCAUAUUGUGCCAAAUUUUGGCUCAAGAACAAGUUUUUAUGGCAAGAAUUUUCGAUUUUACUAAAUAAACCCUAGAUAUGUCAGAGUCCACCACUGGGACUGAAACACGUAAGAGUGGAUCGCUCACCUCGAGCGCGUGCUUAUACCGCUUCGCCUUCCUGAGCUCCGCGAUGAUGCGCCGGAGCUCGGAAAUGGCGACCUCGCCCCCUCCGCGCACCCACUCGUCCAGCGCCGCCGCCGCGCUCUGGCGAUCGAAGCGAAGCCGGAGGAGGCGACGUCGUAGGUCAUCGGCCUCCGCCGCCGAGGAUUCUUCGGGGGAGACUCUUAGGGUUGGGGUUCCGGUCGCCGUGGGGAUCGAGGAGAACGGGCUAGGGCUGGGGUUAGGGUUAGGGUUUCGGAAGAGGAGGAGGGAGAAGAGGGUAGUUGAGAAAAUGGGGUUUCGAGGGCGCGAACGAAGGAGAAGAGUUGCCAUGAGAAUGAGGCGAAUUAGCUGAACCGUUACUGGGUUUUUAUACGGGUUCGGACCGAACCGGUUUGCACCAUUAUGGGCCGGGUUCAGGUGGAAUCCCUGUGCAGGUGCAUUGGCUAUAAAUUAGGGCUUGUUUGUUUCACCGGCCGGAAUAGGUCGGAACUUGCGAGUUUCAAUCGCACCCCCCAUCACGACUUCGGAAUAGGUCGGAACUCGCGAGUUUCAAUCACACGCCCGAUCUCGACUUUUGCUAUAGUAGGGAAUAAAUUCAUACUUUCAUACUGUACACGAGAUUAGAGUCGGUACUUACAGACCUACGCUAUCAACUGCUCUCUUCAUCUAAUCUUCGAAUUCGCAGAUAUCCUCUAAACAUUUGUGCUCGCCGUUUGACGAGGUGAUGACUCAUGCAUUGGAUAUCGGGAUGUGGGGCGAAAGAAACAUGCCCUUAUCGGGUGAAAGAAACAUUGCACUAGUAGUCACUGAACUUCUGCUCGAGUUUUAUUUUGGUUUCUCUCAAUCAAAACUCGGUAGGGGUUAAGAUGGAAACCUCAAUACAACCUCGUUGGCUUUCAUUUAACAGGUCUGUUUGUACCAGCUUCUGUUCUUUACAACUCGCUUUGUCGCUGUUUAAUUCAACGUAAUUGUAAAUGCAGUAUAGCUACAAAUGCAUACAAUUGAAAAUACGCAGCGGUUAUAAUUUCAUAUAUCUUAUUUGGUUGGAUAUAGAAGAAAGUGUUGUAGUGAUAAAUAAUUUGUUUCGAUGCAUGUGGUUGAGAAGUACAUUACAAAAUUCCAUCGUUUUAUAAAGAAGGAGGUGAGAUUACCCCCUAUAUAGAAAAAAAGGAAAAAAUAAUUAAAUGGUUAUUAGAGAGGUAAGUUUAUUUUUGUUUAAAGUUAUUUUCUUCAAGUACAGUCGUAAUUGUAGCAGUUAAAUUUAAAUGUGUCAAACGAACAUGAAUUUAAAUCUGUAUGUAGUUAUAAUUAUAGUGUAGUUACAACUAUAUAUAACUAAAUAAUCCCUUAGUCGACCAGAAAAAUGAAACAAUGUUGAUUCCAUAAUAAUAGAAUAAUGAUGGUUUCCUUGCAUCUAAAACUAGAGGUACUAUUAUUAGGAAGAACAUUUCUUUCAAAGGAUGAGAGGGGAAUUGAAAGAUAAGGACAUUUAGCAGUGUGGUCACACAUUACAACCUAAAUUAUAGAUAUGAAAAAUAUGAAUUAAAUUUUCCAAAAAGUAAUAAUUAAUCUAUAUAUGCAGUUUAAAAUAUUACUAUUGAUUUUAUUAAUAUGUAUAUAUAGUACACAAAGUAUCAAUUACAAAGACCAAGGCCUCUAUCCUCACCUAACUCUAAUAUGUCACAUCCUACAUAAGAUUGACAGUUGCUAAGAAAAAAAAAAAUUUACUAUAUCUGUAUUCGACUGAAUCCGAAUUUUAAUCAAAUAUAUUAUUUUUAAAUUCAAAUCUGAUUUAAAAUCAGAUGCUCGGAUUCGAAUUGAGUUAAGAUAAACAAAAUUAUAUGUUAAAUAGAAACUCAAGUUUCAAAACUAUGUAUUAUAAAUAAGAACAACAUAAUUAUAUAAUUUUUAUGUCUAAAAUCCGUUCUAAUUUUACUUGAAUUUUUGGACGGGAACUUUUUUAUUCGAAUUUGAUUAUUUUUGGGUCGGUAAAUUGGGUCGGAUCAUAAUUUGCUAAUUCUAAUUAUGAAAUAAAUAAAUAUGUCAUUUCCGAGGACACCUUAGUACAUUGGUCAAAGAAGGACACUUCAAACCUCUUCCCUAAAAUUAUGUCUUUUCAGGAGCCUUUUUGGUUUUGGUGAGUGAUGUGGGUAAUUCAUGUCGUUUUCUUAAGCUCUUCACCUAAUUUAACCUAAUUCUCCUCAACUUAAUGAUAUUUUAUUUAUAAAAAAAUAAUAUCAACAAAAUUUAUUUAUUUUUAUAUCAGAAAUAGAUUAGAUACAUUAAAUUUCAUCAAAUUGAGUUAAAAAGUAUCUAUAAGUCAAUAAUAAAUUUAGCUCGGUGAAUAAUGCUAAAAAUUUAAUAUUCGAUUUGAAAUUGCACAUUAGUAUAGUUGUUUGGUUUCCGCAAAUAUAGCACAUGAUAUAUAUGUAUAUAUGUUAUAAAAAUUGAUUGAGAUAUAAUAUUUAUAGUUCUGUCCAAAAAUGUAUAUAUAUAUAUAUUUUAUAUUUUUUCCUAACUUUUUUUUGCCCAAUAAAAUGUGACUCUCAAUACAAAACAAACCCUACAUUAAUUUUCAAGAAAAUGUGUAAUUUGAUAAAAAAAACUUAGCCAAUAAUAAAGCGUAUUAACAUUGGAUUAUGUUCAACUGACCAAGAAUAAUUUGAUAUAAUAAUACAUUUAUAUCUUAUUUUCAAAAAAUUGACUCGAAAGUUGAAUAUUUAUGCCAGGCAAAUAUUUAUUAGUGGUAUUCUCUUCAUUCAUAAAAUACCAUUAAUUUUUUUGAAUAAAUCAAAUAGAUAUGCUAAAUAAAAUACUUUUACAUAAAAUAGAGGUGAAGAGUAUGGUUGAGUUGUAAAAGAUAUUAAAUGUUGUGAAAAUUAGAAAGCUAAAUAGUACUGCAUUAAUUUAUAUGCCAUGUUAGUUUUCUUAAUUUCUUUUUUUAAAUUUUUUUCCUGCCUUUUUCACGUAUUCUAUUGCGAAAGUAAUUUUUAUUAUUGUCGAAAUAAAUAUACUCAAAUUUUAUUAUAGUUAAAGAAAGAAAUCUAAUUAAGAAAGAAAAUAAUUUACAAAAUUAAAGAGAAAAAUAUAUAUAAUUUAUCUCAACUACCGCCCGUUUUAAUUUGAUUAUUUAAUCUUUAAAAAUUUUAAUUCUACUAUUUAAUUUUUUUUUAAUUUUAUUUAAUUUAAGUUAGCUAAUAAUUUUCUAGCUCUAAAAUUUGAAUAGAAUAUUUUUUUUGAUAAGUUAUUAAUUAUCAAUUUAUCAAGAUAUCUAAUUAAUUAAAAUAGUAUAAAUUUUUAAUACUUUUUAUACAUUUUUAUCUAAAUUUUUUUAUUAAUAAUUAGCAAUUAAUAUUAAUUAAUAAUUAAUAAUAAUAAUAAACAUGAAAACUUAGAAAACCAAAGAGAGGAAAAAUCAAGGAGAAUGCUGAGAAUCUCUCUUUCCUUUUUAUUAUUUGGUAGUCCCACUUAAACACAAUGAAAAGGUUGACCAAAAAAAUUAAAAAAUAAAAAUAAAAAUAAAAAUAAAAAUAAAAAUAAAAAAAAAAAAUAAAAAAUAAAAAUUCCACCCUUUUCCCCUCAAAAGUUUUCAACUUUUUCUCCUCUCUCUCUCUCUCUCACUCUCUCUCAUUGGUGGGUGGGUUCUUGGCUCCUCUACGCCCCACCCAACCCCUUCCCCCUUUCGAUCCAUUACCACUUCGCAAAAACCUUUUUUUUCUCUUUUUAAUACCCUUUCCACCCACUUUUUUCAAUUUUUUUCAAGGCAAAAACUCAUCUUUUUUUGUUAUCUCGGAUCACUCGUAGUUUUUUUUUGCUGUUUUUUUUAACCUUUUCGAUACAAAACAAUCAAAUUUAAAGCUUUUAGGAACCGUUUUGCGUUGGCGCACACACAACCGUAUUCUCCUUUUCCUCUUUUUUUCCUUUUUGUGUGUGUGUGUGUGUGUGUGUGUGGGUUGGUUUUGUGUUCAGGGAUUUUUAAUGACAUUUGGAGUGUUAACUACUGCGGCUUUGGGGGGGACCCACGUGGGGAUACAGCUCCAAGAAGCGUGAGGAGUGUUCAACACCCACAUGGGUUUUGGAUUACCAAAUCCUUCAUCGGUUUGAUGUGGAUUUUUUUGGUGAUUUAAUCGGAUUUGACUGGGGGGAGAGGGAGUUUUUUGAGAUCUCCCCCCCUUUUGGCUUCGGAUUUGGGGUUUUGAUGAAGCAAUUCUUGGUAAAGUUCCUUCCUUUGAUUUUUCUCUAUUUGAUUUGUAAUCCUUUUUGUAGUUGCAAGGGGUUUCUCUUAUUGUUUUUUUUUUAAUUAUUAGUUUACGGGAAUGAUUAAAACGGAGAAAAGGAAAGCGGAAUUGGGGAAGAACAUGAGAGAUUUGAUUGUUUCUGGUUGAUUUUUUUGGUGAUUGUUAGUUGAAUUCACCUCUCGGGUCCGAUUUUUGAUCUGGGCCUUUCUCAAUUCCACCAAAUUUUACGGCUUUCGAUAUCGAUUUGAGGUAACACGCGAUCACGAAUCUUAUUAUGCAUAGGUUAAUAUCAAGGAUAAUAUUUGACCAAGAAAAAUUUUGUAUUUGAACUUGUUUUAUUCAUAUCAAUACCCUAGCAAGAUUGUGGGUUUAAUCACAAUUAAAUUUUGCAUGCGAUAUCUUAGUCGAAUUUGAUAACUCUCAAAUCAUUUGGGUCCUGUUGGUAUUAUAGUGUUUAUGAUUGUUGGAUUAGAUAAGCAUCUUGAAACACUACAACUUUUUCAUUUUAUGUAAGUUAUAGGGUGGAUAUUCAUGUCUUGUUGUUUCGAUGGUAAUACUUCGUGGUAAAAUAAAUGCUUAAGCUUUUGCAUUUGGUGCCGCUAUAAGCUCCCGAGGUCUAAUAAACAAGCUAUUGGCUACUCAUCAGAUGUUCAACGUUCUUUCAAUUAUUGAUAAUGUUCUUAGAGGCAGGUUAAAUAUUCCAUUUUUGUGGUGUUUCAUGAUUUGUUUUGCUAAAAUUAUACAUAUUCAAUCAUCGAAUGGUCCUUUUUUUCUCAAUUCCUUAUAUUACUUAAUGUUUGUUGCUCGGAGCAAUCAAAGCAACCUGCAACAUUUCUUGUUCAAACAUGAAAUCAAGCUCUCUAGCACUUUUAUAGUUGCGUAUAAUGAAGCUAAUAUAGUUGCAGCUAAAGUUGGCCAGGGCUGUCGUAUUAUAGCAACUCUUGUAAUGGGUUGGCUGAACAAAAUUUUUAAAGGUUCUAGCCACAAAAUUUCAGAGGGGCAGUACCAUGGACAAUCUGGCGAUGAUGGCUAUUGGAACGAACCCUCUAGUUCGUCGGUCGGGCCGUCAGAGGUACUUCUCUUGAUCAUCUUGGAGCUUUUUCCGUUAGCAGUAAACAAAGAGAUAAGUAAAAUAUCGAUAACUUACGAGACACCUGAACAGGGUUUGAUGAGUAUAUUUGGGAUCUAAUCUUUUGCAAUGAUGUGUUCUCUUCGAAAUUUUUUGCUCCUGUUGUUUGUAUAUGCGGAAUACAGGAUGUUCUUUCGGAGUUUGACAAUGAAGAAAUUGAUCGUGCUAUUGCGCUUUCCCUAUCAGAAGAAGAACAGAGAAAGGCAAAGGCAGUUGGUUCGUACGACAUAUACUACCUCAUCAAACUUUUAGCUUAUCUUCCCCUUAUUUCAUGUGCAUAAUUUUAUGUGUUUUUCAGUUUGAAUGAGAAGUAAGAUCUUAGACCGAUUUUGUGAAUUGUAGUUCGUUGUAUGACGAGCAUUAUUUGUAGACUAUACACCUUGUGUUAAGUAGAGUAGUUGAAUUUCUUUCUUAAAAAGGAUAGUCGAUGUCGGGUCUCGUUACUUACGGAACUUUAGUUUUUUAAUAAUUUUUUUUCCUUCAUUUCAGAGAAGGAAUCGCUCUUGGAUGAAGAUGAACAAUUUGCAAGAGCUUUGCAAGAAAGUUUGAAUGUUGAAUCUCCGCCCCGUGAAAAUGGCAAUACAUAUCAACCAUUACCUUUUAUCUUUUCUUCUGGGUUCAGGUAAUUCUCUUGCUUUGCUCUCAAUCCUUGAACAUCUAGUUGAACAUUAUUUCAAUUUUCUUCUACGAAUAAUUGUGGAAAAUUAUAUCAGUUUGGUGUACUUCCAUUUCAUCAAACUAGUUAGUGUUUGUAAGGCCGACUACAAUCGCAAGUUGCAAUUUACAGUCGAAAGCUCCAAUUUCUGAUUUUCGAAGCAUCUGAUUACAUUUGGUGCGAAUUUCAUGGUUUCACAUAUUACAUUUAUGUGCAUAGACAUACUUCCAGUUUAUCAACUGUAUUCGUGUAACAGUACAUGGAAACAUUUUUUUGUUUUUGUACAUAUUUUGUGUACUUAUAACCUGAUGAAGAAAGGAUAUUUUUCCUUGUGAUCUGUUACGUUAUGGGGGAAAAACAUUGAAUCUAACUUUUGCUGUAGGAUAUGUGCUGGAUGCAAUAGAGAGAUUGGCCAUGGACGAUUUCUCAGUUGUAUGGGAGCUGUUUGGCACCCUGAAUGUUUUCGGUGUCAUUCUUGUAAUCUGCCAAUAUACGACCAUGAGGUAAUUUUUUUCAUUACUUAUUUUGGAAAUCUAUCUACGACGGAUCGAAAACUCAUCAGAUUGUGCUUUAGUUCUCCAUGUCUGGGAAUCACCCUUAUCACAAAUCCUGCUACAAAGAGCUUUAUCACCCAAAAUGUGAUGUUUGCAAACAAUUUGUGAGUAUCUAAAUUAUACCUUCUUUCUCUUUGUUUUGUUCAAGCAGUUUAUUAUUAUUAUUUUUUGUUUCUAGUGAUAAUUUACGACGGAUUAGCAUAGCGUAUAUAUUACAAGACAAUUUAGUACGUAGUCAUGUUCAUCAAAUUCAAAGCAGCAUUUACUCCUCUCUACCUCGUUUUUUAAGUUUCAAGCAAAUCGGCAAAUAAUGGUUCUUUUUCACUUACAUAUAAGCUAAAAGGUUUCGGAAGUUUUUGUAUAUCUCAUUUUUAUCAUUUGGCUUCGGUAGCUAAUUCAUCUACAAAACAUAAACCCGCUGCAAAAAGAGAUUGUUUCUGGUAGAUCAUAAUUUGUAAUUUGUGAUCUAAUAUUAUAGCGUUAAUAACCCCUCGAUUUAUAAAUUAAGGCCUUUUAUUGAUAAUUUUUCUUUUCACACUUUUAAGUUUUCCGCUCUCUAUUCAUGUCCUUCUAUUUUCAGAUUCCGACGAAUAUGAGCGGCCUUAUCGAAUAUAGGGCGCAUCCUUUCUGGCUACAAAAGUAUUGUCCUUCGCAUGAGAUGGAUGGUACUCCAAGAUGCUGCAGCUGUGAAAGAAUGGAGGUUGGUUCUACUACCAUUUCGAAAGAUUCCCUAUCUAGAUCAGUAAACUCGCAACAUAAAUUUUGACGCUAUUGUGAUCUAUUACCUUUUAUUUUCCUUUUUUUGUGUGUGUUUUUAUGAAAUCCAUAGCCGAGGGACUCAAAAUACGUGACUUUGGAUGAUGGGCGAAAGCUUUGCCUGGAGUGUCUAGAUUCUGCAGUGAUGGACACGAGCGAAUGCCAGCCUCUUUACAUUGACAUACAAGAGUUCUACGAAGGUCUAAACAUGAAAGUGGAACAACAGGUUCCGCUUCUUUUAGUUGAGCGACAAGCUUUAAACGAAGCCAUGGAAGGAGAAAAGACUGUAAGUCGGUUGUCCGCAAGCCCUAGGGCUGAAAUUACUGUACUUUUUAUUCCGGCUAAAUUCUGUACACUUUAAAACCCCACAUUUUUUCCUCCCUUAACUCUACAAAAUUUCAUAGCUUCGCCUUGGGUUUAAAAAUAUUCACGAAGGCGAUGUGGAAAUCGUGAUUUUUAUGAGUCGUCUAUCUUUUUUGGUUUCAUUUAUCUUUUUUCAUCUCUAAGCAGGGUCAUCAUCACCUCCCGGAAACAAGAGGGCUCUGCUUAUCAGAAGAGCAAACUGUGAGCACGGUAAGAAGCCUCUUCAACUUUACAUCAUGUUAUUGUUUAACAUUUUUGCCAUUCAUAUGAUACGCUCGGCUAAAAAACAACUAUUUUCAGAUAUUAAGGAGACCGAGAAUUGGGGCUGGAAAUAGAAUUAUGGACAUGAUAACGGAACCAUACAGACUCACUCGGCGAUGCGAAGUAACUGCAAUUCUUAUUCUAUACGGUCUCCCUAGGUAAGAUUCGACUUCUCGUUUUUCAGAAACAACAUUAUGGUAUGUUUAAAUCAAAAUGUGGAUUCAAAAUGCGGAUGUAUAGUUUUGAAUAAUGAGCUUGUUUUGAAUUAUCUUUAAUUGAAUGCUUCGAAGGAAGGUCUAAUUCAUAAGCAUGUUUCUUUUUUUUAUUCCUUUCAGAUUAUUAACAGGUUCAAUUCUAGCCCAUGAGAUGAUGCAUGCAUGGCUGCGACUUAAAGGUAUCGUCCCAGUUUAUAUAUCGAUUGAUUGCAUUACUGUUUGGUUCGCAGUAGUACGGCAAAUAAGAGUUUAUCUCACAGUUAGUAAAUUUAGGGAUUCACUUGAAUUUACUAAUUGUCGCCGCUAAAUAACUUUUGCUGCGAAAGCAAUUAAGCCCUUUGAAUAUGAUAAUUUCACUUUGUUUCAGGAUAUAGGGGCCUUAGUCAAGAAGUCGAAGAGGGCAUAUGUCAGGUUCUCGCACACAUGUGGCUCGACUCAGAGCUCAUGUCGGGGUCCGGCAGUAACACCGCGUCCGCCUCAUCGUCAUCGUCGUCGUCGUCAUCCUCGUCAGGACCCACAUCAUCCAAAAAGGGUAUGCGAUCCCAGUUUGAGAGGAAACUCGGGGAUUUUUUCAAGCACCAGAUCGAGUCUGACACGUCUUCGGCUUACGGAGAUGGUUUUAGAGCUGGAAACGUAUCAGUUCUUCGGUACGGCCUUAGACGAACCCUUGACCAUAUAAAAAUGACAGGGAGCUUCCCACUAUGAUUUGCUACGAAUAUUGUUCUGCGUUAAGUUAAAACCUAAUUAUUCCUUUUCAUGCCUCGAGUCGAUUAUAAAAAGAAACCACACCCUUCUUUUGCGCAAAGUACAGUGAGAUGGUACAUGUAGACAUGGCUACGAUUACGGAAUAAAUUGGAAAUCCAGUUCAGAAUAUUUUUUUGACUUCGUCGCUUGCUUAGUAGUGUUAUAAUUGAAGUGAUUGUCGUAUUAUUUGUUCUUUAAAUGAUGAGCUAGUAUAAAAUUAGGCAAAUGAGACUAUUGAUGUACUGUGCAAGGAGAAACAGACUCUAGGUUAAAGACAAAAUGGCAACAAUGAGGUGAAAAUGCCAAAUUAUAUGUGGCUUCUUGGCUUUUAUUAUACUGAGUAGGUUUUGACCAACAAAGAGUUAUGAUGUUGAAGUAUUGGCUUUGAAUUUCAUGGUGAAAGGAAAGUUUACUGCACUAUUGGCAUUUAUGUUUCAAUUUGUGAGUCAUUUAUAUUCUGGAGCUUCUCAAAGUCAAUAUUGUAAGCAUCUUAUUUUUGUCCUUUUUAAUCAUAAGGCCCCUUUGUCAUCAGCAUGAGUAUAGUAAUAAUAAAUUAUUGGGCUAACUCAAUGCAAAUAUUAAAUUAGAUGCAUAUUCAAUAAUUUAAAGGCCUAUGGCACAUUAUAGCCCUGUGUAUAUCUUCAUUCCCUGUUACAAUAAUCAACAGAUGCUUACAAUUAUACAGGAGCUAUGAAUCAUUGCUGACAAAGAAAUUUUGAACCAUUUGCCAGCUAAUUUGCUCAGAUCCACAUUCCUCCCAAAAAAAAAAAAAAGGUAAUGAUGACAGAUAGAUCCUGUUUUUAUGUCGGAAUAAAUUAUUCAAUAAUUAUUUAGUACGAAAAAUGUAUUUAUUUAUUUUUUGCGUGCGUUAUUGGAAAAUAGGAUUUUGAUUUUUUGCUUGUUAAGGCCUCGACAGCUAUGAUUUGAUAUUACAUAUAACUUACGAGAUGGUGUAUCUUAUGUUAAAAGUUGGUCUGAACAUGUUCCUCACCUAUCAAACAUGAUAAGCACUUUGAAUAAAUCGAAGAGACAGUUUGAAUAAGAUAUUCAUGCAUCCAAACAAAGCUUAUUUCAAGCCAAAUAUUUCUGAUGUUACCUUAAUUUUCCUGUAAUCACGAGAUUCAUUCACUAGUUCAAUCCAUUGAUAAAAUCACAUCACAUGCUCAAAAAUCACAAAAUUUCACUUUUGCCUCCAAACUUCAAUUGUAUCUCAUAACAGUUUUAACUUCAUCAAGUCUCAAGCUCUGGAUUGAAGAUAUGUUAAAUUAUUUAUAAGAAAAGGUUGAUUUGCCAGUCUGUAAUCAUUUUCAGACAGCAUGACAUCCUGCUGAGCUUUCAGGAAAAGCCCACAUGAGUUUUGCUGCUGAAAGUGUUCACAUUGGCUAACAUACUUAUUAUUGAAUAUUGAAUAUAAAAACAUUAAAACAUAGUUCUAUAUCGGCUUAAGCUAUUGAGUAAUCUGUUAGCAUCAGAACAGUAGAUUCUGAGUUCAAAUCUCUCGAUCUUUCUCAUUUAAUUUAGUACAGAUUAUGAUUUAAUAGGAUAUUACAUAUAACUUACGAGAUGGUUUAUCUUAUGUUAAAAGAUGGUCUAAACACAUUCCUCACCUAUCAAACAUGAUAAGCAUUUUGAAUGAAUCAAAGAGACAUUUUGAAUAAGAUAUUCACGCAUCCAAAUAGAGCUUACUUCAGGCCAAAUAUUUUUGAUGUUACCUUAAUUUUCCUGUAAUUAUGAGAUUCAUUCCAUUGAUAAAAUCACAUUACAUGCUCAAGAAAUCACAAAAUUUCACUUUUGCCUCCAAACUUCAAUUUUAUCUCAUAACAGUUUUAACUCCAUCAAGUCUCAAGCCCUGGGUUGAAGAUAUGCUAAAAAAAGUUGAUUUGCCAGUCAGUAAUAAUUUUCAGACAGCAUGACAGCCUGUUGAGCUUUCAGGAAAAGCCCACAUGAGUUUUGCUGCUGAAAGUGUUCACAUUGGCUAACAUACUUAUUAUUGAAUAUUGAAUAUAAAAACAUUAAAACAUAGUUCUAUAUCGGCUUAAGCUAUUGAGUAAUCUGUUACCGUCAGAACAGUAGAUUCUGAGUUCAAAUCUCCUCGAUCUUUCUCAUUUAAUUUAGUUUCCUCCAUUUGAUUUAUGUUUAUGUCUUGGGCAGUAUUAGGAUUCUGGAACAUCCUUAAGAUAUAUAACAACUUCCAUAUCUAAAUUAUUAUAAUAUAUAAUAUAUAGCUUAGCUAUGGUUGGUCAUAUGUAGGUAUGUAGAAAUUAAUAUCCAAUCCAAGACCAACAUAUUUGUUACUUUGGUUGGUUUUUGGAGGAUUUGUUGGAAGCAACACAGCAAUCCUCAAGAAGCACAAUCCUUGUGAUAUCUCUUUGUCAUUUCAAGGGAAUUAUUAUUAUUUUAAAAAAAAAGGACAUACAAAAAUCCUAGAUAAUUUUUGGGGAAACUUCAAUUUACCUACUUUGGUUUAACGCAGUUUUAUUUUACCACGUGACUAUUUUAUUGUUUUAUUCGUAUCUAACUGUAACUUUGCUACCGUAUUUGAUGUCCUAUUCGAUGUUAGACUUUUUCAAUGUCAAAAACAUAAAAUAAAAUUAUAGGAUAGUUAAGCGCAACAUUUUGAACUAUGGAGUGGCAAAGUGAAAAAAAACGAUCUACAUCAUUAGGUGACCUCUAUUCAAGUUGUUCUUUUGUGAACAUUUAUUUAUAAGCAUAAUAAACUGACCAAGUCCAAGCAGAUGACAUAUAGAUGGUAUCAAAUGCAAUGAGAACAAGACCCAAAGAGAAUAAAAUCAAUCCAAGCCAAGACAAAACCCCAUAAGAUCUUUGUAAUUUUUUUAAAGUAAAAUGUUCAUCAAAGAGCCAAAAUCAACAAAGUUCAUAAAAGACUCAAAAAACCACUAUCCACUUACUACAAUACCAAGCCAUGGUAGUAUCAAAGAUGAAACAAUCUCUUCUCACCCUUCUUUUCUCCUCCUGUUUCAUUUACCCUCUCAUCAAUGCUCAAUCCACAAACACAAACACCACAACCUUUUCGUGCUCCUCGAUCUCUCCAUGCAGAACUUACGUCGCAUACCGCACGCAACUCCCGAAUUACGCAGACAUCGGCGCGAUAUCCGACCUCUUCGGAGUUAGCCGCUUGUCGAUAGCUAAGGCCAACAAUCUUUCAUCAGAGGAUGGCACACUUCUCCCUGACCAGCUCUUGCUUGUCCCUGUCUCAUGCGGUUGCACCGCGAACCGAUCCUUCGCGAACAUGACGUACGAGAUUGCGAAAGGUGAUAGCUUCUACUUGGUUUCGAUUCGUGCCUUUGAGAAUCUGACAGAUUACAAUGCUGUCGAGGAGUUCAAUCCGUCGCUCGAUCCGAGCCACUUGAAGGUCGGCCAAGAGGUGAUCUUUCCGCUGUACUGCAAGUGCCCCUCGAAGAUUCAAGUGGAUCAGAGCAUCAAUUUCCUCUUAACUUAUGUUUGGCAAGCAAGUGAUCAGAUUGACCAAGUGAGCAAGUUGAUGAAUUCGUCUACAAAUGCAAUGUUGAGUGAGAACAAUUACCGAAAUUUCAACAACUCGGUGGCUCGUCCGGUCUUAAUCCCCGUAUCGGAGCUACCGCGCCUUCCGACGCCAAUUUAUGAUACAACUACUCAUGUUUCUCAGCAAAAUGCUAGAUCAGAUAGGACUACAAUUGUAGCAUGGAGUAUGGUAGGGGUUAUUUUGGCCCUAGUCAUAUUAGGUGUUCUUGCUUGCUACUGUAAAGAUCACCACAAUAAGGUUUUUACUUGCAAUCGAUCCGAGGUCACUGAUCUUCUCGGAUUCAGUAAAACAUCUGACAAUUUAGCAUUUAGCCCCGCGAUCAAAGGAGAUAAGCUUUUGACCGGCGUAUCGCAAUUCAUAGAUAAGCCCGUGUUUUUCGAUAAUAUGUCUUUAGCAGAAGCUACUAUGAAUUUCGAUGAUAGCUAUAGAAUCGGAAGUUCAGUUUACAAAGCGGAGAUUGGCGGAGAGGUUUACGCAGUCAAGAAGGCCAAAGGAGAAGUCGCGGAGGAACUCAAGAUACUGCAGUUUGUCAGCCAUGCAAAUCUCGUCAAGCUGGAAGGAGUUUCGAGUGACGAAAACGGCGAUUGCUUUCUUAUUUACGAAUUCGCUGAAAACGGGUCAUUGGAUAAGUGGCUGUUUCGGAGUCCUUCGUCAUCGUCGUCGAGCUCUUCGGCAUUUCUUUCGUGGAAGCAAAGGCUGAGCAUACUGCUAGAUGUCGCCAGUGGCCUGCAGUAUCUGCACGAGCACACGAGGCCGAGCAUAGUCCACGGGGACGUCAGGGCGAGGAACAUCCUCCUCAGCGCGGAUUUCAAAGCCAAGAUAUCGAAAUUCUCCGCGGCGAGAAUGGUGGCAGGCGGCGCGACAGCAUCGGCAGACGUGUUCGCUUUCGGAAUUCUGAUCUUGGAGGUGAUCUCAGGAAGGAGAGCUAUGGAAAGCGGCGAAGGUGGCAACAUGAGAAUGUUGUGGGAGGAGAUCAGGACAGUGUUAGAGGCCGAGGAGAUGAGAGAACAUAGAAUCAAGAAAUGGAUGGAUCCGAGUCUCGAAGGGUUUUAUCCUACUGACGGCGCUAUAAGUAUAGCUGUGUUGGCUAGAGCAUGCGCGCAAGAGAACUAUUGUCAGAGGCCAAGUAUGACAGAGAUUGUGUUUAGCCUUUCUGUUUUGGAUCAGCUGUGUAGCUGUCCAUUCGACAGAGCUUCGAUGCCGAAUUCCGAAGAAAAUACUCCGGUAAAAGCUGCAAUCGCAAGUCGCUGAAACGAUGAACAUUAUUUUUGCUUUUUUAAACUUUCAACAAGUGCUGUGUACUUUGAUGAAGUUUUGAGUGAUUUGCUGAUGAAUAUGUGUGCAGUUUCAGGGUGAGCUUGUAAGAAAGGAGGAAAAUUGUGUAGGUUUAGUAUUUGUAUGUAGUUUUGAUCACUAUGAUAAUAGAGGUUUGUGUUGUUGCUUUUUAGUGGUUAUUUCUCUUAUGGAGUCACAGUGGAGUGAUCUAAAGAGGCACACCCAGAAUCUCCGUUGUUGCAUUAUACUCUUGGGCUGCGUUUGGUAAGAGAAUAAGGAAGAAAUAAGCACUUAAUUUUAUGUACUUUGCCAAAUACAGCUAAAUUUGAUAGGAAUGAUAUAUUCUGAUCCCCUACCUCUAGAAAUAAGGAUAAGGAGAUGUUGAAUUAAAUGCAAUUUCUUUAGGCUCUCUUUAGAUGCAUGAAUAUUGUUCAGUAUCUGUCGAAAAUUUAUUUAAAAAAUCUAACGAAGAGUGUAAUCAAAUGUUUAGAAUUGGAUACUACAAUGCCGCAACAUAUCGAUAUUUGUGAUAAGAGAUAUCCAAGACGAGUUAGCAAUCGUCGGUUAUUUACACGGUACCGAUUAUAUUAACAAUUACUGCAGAUCAUUAGUUUGCGAAAACAAUUAUCUGCAGGAAAUCUCAUUCAUGAACUCGAAGGAACGAAACGGGGAUAUGUUUGAUUCAAAAGUAACAAAGAAAACAAACAUAUAAUUUAGAAUUAGCGCGUGUUUUACACAAGCCAUGUAUCUGGCAAAUAGUACAGACAUUUAUCUAAGGAGCUCAUAUUUGAUACAAGAAACAGUAUAAUGCUACCAAAUGUUCCAAAGUGUUGUUUCUCCCUUCGGCUUUCGUCAAAUGGGGCUUUUGAACUUCUGAAAACAACUUCAGAGCAAAUCUCUAUGGGCCUCAUCUGAAACGCAUCACAAUUUCACGCGAAAUCCCCGUAAAAGCCCCUUUUUCGGUAAGCAAAAGCCGUUUAGGCACUCUUGAAGCUCUAAUCCGCCUUUGUUAGUUUUAAACAAACAUUAAUUUCCAUCUGAGUAUCGACGCAGUUAGUAACGCGAGCUAUCUCUUGCCAAAUCUGAGGCACUUGUUGUGUUUUACUUCGGUAAUGGUCGACGUCUGCGCAUUGCUUUGUUUCGAUUGUUUAGAUGCAGGGAGUUUCUCCAUUGCGCUAAUGAAUUUCCUCAAGUGCUUGAUGUACUCCGGAUAAGUUUCUAAAUUGCAGUGGCCGCCGCCCUUUAUCCAGAGCGGCUCGUACUUCUCCUUUGAUAACUCCCACAGGCGCUUACCGUGAGACCAAUCGACGAUAUCGUCGGCGGUACCCUGUACAUAAUUAACAUAUCGACUGAAUACAUGAACAGAACAAUGAAAAAGUAAAAACAUAUAGAACUUAUUUGAACUAUGGACCAUUUUGAGUCGGCUAUUCAACCUUUAAAAAUUUUGAUUUUACUGUCUAGUCUUUCAAUUUAUUUGAUUUGAUUCAGUCAACGGCAUUGUGACUUCAAAAUUUGAAUGUAUCAUUUAUCUUUACUGGUUUACUUAAUAUACUUAAUGUAAUUCUCGCAAUUAUAAAUUUAUUAAAAGUACUUAGCUUAAAUUUUGAAGUCAAAAUUACCGUUGGUGACUCGAAUCAAAGAAGCCGAAGGAUUUGAUAGUAAUAUCAAAAUUUUGAAAGGUUAGAUAGCCGAUUUAAAAUGAUCUGUAAUCCAGAUAAGUUCUAUACGUUUUUAUCGAAAAAAAACACCAUAAGCAUACUACAAUGCAUUUACUAGUGCAGAAAGGAAUGUACACUCACAUGUAUGACAAAAACAGGGCAGUGGACUUGCCGUAUUUUAUCGAUGUUCUGCAAAUACAUAGAGAGACUUGUGCAAUAAAUCGCAGAAGCAACACCGGAACUUGAAAAAUCUAAAUCGUAACAAGUUGACUCAAACUUACUUUAAAAAUAUCGAACCAAAAUGUGACUUUGACGGGGUACAAGACCCGUAUGCCCGAGAGAAUAGCACUAUGAAGGACGACGCCUCGCAACCUCUGUAACCGCGCGGCCAGGUGCAGCGUCGGCCCGCUACCGACGGACUGGCCGUACAAGAUCAGAUCCUCUUGCCUUAUCCCGUAAUUUUUCUUCAAACAAUCGUAUACAGCUUCUAUGUCGUAGUACGUGUUGAAUUCGGAUGGCUUUUUGAGGAAUAACAAGCGAAAAGAAGAGAAUAAAAGACAGUUUAGACAUCGAAUUACAGCGGCGCAAAGAAUUGUAACAAUUCAGGUGCAUGCAAAUCAAUAAGGCAUUUGGUUCCUCGAAAAAGCAUGGAAAACUGUUUUUCGGCGAAAAAGUUUUCCAUGGAAAACACUUUUCCACAUUUUCAUUUUUCACUUUUCCAUGAAACUAGAAAAAAAAUCUUUUCUAGAAAAAGUACUUUUCCUACGAACCAAAUGAACGCAAAAUACUUUUUUCGGCCAGAAAACUGUUUUCUGAGAUGUUUUCCAGAAAACCAAAGAUUUUCCGGAAAUAUUAGAGUAAAAUCUAUAAUAAGAAAUCAUUCUUUUAGUCUCUAACUCCAUUAAUCGCCGUAAACAAAGACUGAAUGGAUCGAUUCAAGAAUUAAUUGGUCAGCAGAAAAUUUUUUUUCCCAGUACGCAAUUUACGGAAUAAUUUUACAGAAUUUGUGACGUAAUUCUAGUGUUUCGACAAAUGCUGCAAAGAGGGUUUUCACUGCAAUGUUGAAUACAACAGGAAUAUCUGGUUUUGUUGAUGCAGAAGAUAACAAUAAAUCGAUAAAUAAAUAAAUUUCUGGAGUAUAAAAUAAAUUUUACUGCAGCAAAGAAAAGAUUUAUUAAAGAUAUGUGACGACUCGAACGCUAAACUCAUUGCAGGGGACUUCGAGUUAAACAUCGAAACUAAGUACGAAGAAUAUAAAAUGUCGUAAGAAGCAACUGAUUUCGAUACUUCUGAAGCAUUGGAAGGGGAAAUUUAAAUUCAUACCUUCCCAGUGGAGGCUCCAUAACCCGAGUAAUCGUAGCUGCAAAAUGUACCGUAAAACAAUAUUAAACACUGCGAAACUCGAUACUCAUUAUCCGAUAGCGAAAUUGUAAUGAGGAUCUCGAAUAAUAUAUAAUGCAAAUUUAGUAUGAAGCUCUUCACCCUAGUGUGUGUGUAUAUAUAUAUAAAUUUAGCUUAUGUUAAGUGUGUAUGGUGUUAUCGGGUAAAAUUUUUGUUGAAUAUGGUAAACACGUAUGAAACUUACCUGAACCAUGGACCAUUUGGAUUUGGCUAUCUAAUCUUUUAAAUUUAUUUGAUUUGAGUUAGCCAACGGCACUUUGACUUCAAAAUUUCAAUGCAUCGUUUAUCUCUACAGAUUUAAUUAGUAUAUUUCAUGUAAUUCUCACAGCUAUAAAUUCACUAAAGUAAUUAACUUUAAUUUUGGAAUCAAAAUACCAUUGACACUUUCUCACUUUAGUACCCUGUGGUUUAAAGUGUACUAAUUUAGUAUCCUGUGGUUUUAUUUUUAUUUUUUUAUUAUCGAUUCUACUAAUUUUUUUUGUUAAAUCAAUGACAAAGUUAAAACUAAAUGGUAUUAAAGUGAAUAUUCGAUAACUCUAGGUUGAGGUAUCUGAAGUUUUUUUUGCAUAUAAUUUAAUGAAAUAUUAACGGAAAAACGGAUAAAAAGAUAAAAAUCAAACCACUGGACAAUAAUUUGAUACACUUUAAAUUACAGAGUACUAAAGUGAGAAAGUGCGCAACCACGGGGGUGGUAUUUAAAGUUUACCCUAAAUAUUAGGAGUUUGUUGACAUUUAGCCUCAAAAUUUUCAAAAGUAAAAAUAAUAAUAAGAAUCCAACAACCCUAAAAAGAGAAAAGUCCACCACUCAACAAACAAAAUUAGACCACCCAAAGCAUAAUAAUUCUAAGAAAAAGGAAAAGAAGAACCAUCACAAAUAAAUCCUACAAAAACCAACCCAAAAAUCCCACCUCCCAAACCCCCCAAAAAAAAUCCACCACAAACAAAACAAACAAAAAACCCAUUAAAAAAAAGAAGAAGUAAAACAAGCCCAACAACAAAGAGUAUCAAAGAGCAAGAUUUAAGAUUUUAAUUAAAAACAAGAAAGAAUGAAAAUAAAAAUAAAAGAAACGAGAGAAAUGAAGAGAAAACACGUAGAACACCUCAUAUAUAGAAAACCAAUAAAACGAAAGAUAACUGAUCAGUGCUUUAAAAUUCGCACUUUUAUUAUUAUUAUUAUUAUUAUUAUUAUUAUUAUUAUAAAUGGUUAAACUAAUUACACGGUGUCCGCAGGGAGCCCCCCCGACCCACAUAAUAUUUUCCCGAUAAAAGAACAAAAAUAAAAAUAACAAACUAUAACAAGCCCAUGAAACAAGCUAAAAAUAACAAAAUAAAAUUUUUUUUAAAAAAAAAGAAUAGCGGCACAUCCAUCUCCAAGGAAAAAGCUAAAAAAAAAUAUAUUAAAAAAAAAAUUUCGCAGAGGAAAAAAAACGAUUAUCUACCGCCGCUUUAAAAUUCGUGACGCUUGCUAUUGCGAAUUUUGAAGUUUUUUUUCUUUUUCCUUAAAAGGAAAAUUCAUCUUAAGUUUUUAAGUUUUUCUUUUUUUUAAGCUUUUCUUAAGAGAAGAAGAAGAAGAAGAAGAAGAAAAGAGAAAUAUAUAGCACAUCCAUCUCCCCAAAAAAAAAAAAAAAAAGCAAAAUGCGAGAGAGCAGAGAGGAGCAGUCAGCAGCAGAAGAAGAAGAAGAAUGGCCAUGGCCGGGCGGGCGGCCGGCGGACGGCGGACCUCAUGAUGUUGACGCGGAGGUGGGCGCGGAGUUCGAGGAAGAGGUGGAGCAUCUGGCCGAGGUCGGCGGCGUUGCCGUGCGAGUAGAGCACCGUCAGCCGCGCCCCCGGGUGCCGCCAGAACGCCGCCACCACCCGUUCGCUCGCCCGCGGUCUCCACCGCCCGCACCUCCGCCUCCCCCUCCCCUCCCCUCCCCCUCCCCCUCCUUCCCUUCCCCCCUCCCCCCGACAUCGACAUCGACAUCGACGCCACCCGCAUCCGCCCUCCUCUCUCCCUUCCUCCUCCUCCUCUCCGCCGCCGCGCCGCCGCGCGCCCUCCCGAUACACCACCUCGUACGUCGCCGGCUCCGGCGGAAGAACGCGAACUUCGCCGCCACCGACGACGUCACGUUCCCCAUUCCUUCCCCCCCCCCCCCCUCUCUCUCUCUCUCUCUCCUUCGCGCGCACAAUGGAGAUGGAAUUGGGUCGAAUUGGAGAGGGGAUCCUCCCUCUCCCUCUCUCUCUCUCUCUCUCUCUCUGUUUUUUUUUUUUUUUUUUUUUGGGUGGGGGGUUUUUAGAGGUGACUAUUCUUGGUAGAGGAGGAAGGGGGCGGGGGGAGGGAGGGGAGGAAACGGAGACAGGUGGCGGGGGGAGAAAUUAGUAUAACCAUAAUAACAACUAUUAUUAUUAUUAUGGGUUAAUUGCAUACAGGUCCCCAUAAAUAUACUGAAUUGUAAAUUUCUUACUGUCAAGUUCAACUUUUAUAAAUUAUUCAUGCAAAGGUACUAAUAUUUUCAGAUAUGUUCCUCUGGUUUGUUAUCGUUAAAGAAUCGUUCAAAAACUAUUUAUAUUUCCAAUUUUUCCAUCAUAAAUAUAUCUCUUCAAAAGUUAUAACAAUAUAGUAUAAGAGGGAUAAAAAUAUCAAAAAUUAAUCCGGAUAAAAUAUUUAACAUAUGGUUAACUAAAACUUUUAUAACGGAUUCUAACGGUAGGAACAUAUCUUAAAACAUUAAAACUUUUGUAGGGAUAACUUAUGAAAAUUAAACUUUACAGAAAUAUAUCUGUAAUUCAUUAUGCUUACAGAGACCUGUAUGCAAUUGACCCUAAUAACUAUUACUGUUAUUAUUAGUUAUUAAUAAUGAGUACGUUUCCUACGCUUUCACAAAUACGGAGACCUCCACUUGUAAACUAUUUUCAAUAAUGAGAUAUUCGAUUCGACAAUCGGCUUAGAUAAACAUAAUUUACGUUAUUAUAAUUAUUUUAAAAUUAAAUUUUAUAGUUUUUCGACAUUAUUUAGUGGAUCUCAAAAAUAACUAUUUUAAUGGCAGAUGUGGCACGUUUAUAAAUUUAACGGACGAUGUAGAUAAUUUAAAUUAUAUAAAAUUUUAAUAAAAAAAUUUACUUAACAUCAAAGGUAAGAUUAAUACUUUUGAUUGAAAUUCGAAUCUUUUAUCAUUACUUUUUGUGAGAUUUUUAUUUUUAGCCGUUCAUUUUGAGGCUACUCGUUCGCUAGGCAAACAAAGUUUAAAAAAAUAUAAAAUUUAGUUUAUAAAUAGAUCUAAUAGUGUAGAUCAUAUUUAACGGAGCUGAUCGUUGAAUUAUAUGUUUUAUUCAUCGAAAACAACUUACAAGUACGAAGGCCAUAGUAUUUUUUGAAAGUGUAGGAGCACAAAUCAUUUAUUAAUUAUUAUUAUGAAUUGAGUUAGUUUACUAUCGAUAGCAGUUGAGCUCUUAUACUUUUCAAAGCACCGGAACUCAACGUAUACGUAAUUGUUUAGAUAUCGGAUAGGCGAAAGAUUCAUGCAGUAUUAGUAAAAAAAAACUUAAUGAGGCAUAUCGUUAAUAGUACUACACGGAUCUUAAGACAAUCCGAUAGCUAAAAAGUUAUAAACUCUAAUACUCACAAAAGCUCAACUCCUUUUGAUUUUAUAUGAAUAGCAUUUACUAUCUAUUAUUGGCUAUUGGAUUAUUACUAUUCUACCUAUUACCACUCAACUCUAGAUAUCAAAUAUUAAAAAAAGAGUAAAAAAUAUUAGGGUUAAUUUCAUACAGGUUUCCGCAAAUAUGAUGAAUAGCAGAUAUAUCUUUACAAAGUUCAACUUUCAUAAAUUAUCAUUACAAAAGUCUUAAUUUAUUCAGAUAUGUCAAUCUGGUUAAGAUCAGUUAGAAAACUGUUAAUUUUUUAUAGCAGAGAUGUGAAAUGACAAUUUUGUCCUUAUCCUCUUCCUUUUCCUCUUUCUCUUCCGGCUUGGGAGCGGACGGCAGCGUCAGCGACGACGACCUUGUGGAGUUUGUCGGGGUUGCGGCCAACGGGGUUGCGGAGCUUGUCGGGGUCACGGUGUGGCCGAUGCCGUCGAAGGCGCCCGUGAUGACGACCCACGUGGGCACCACGACGGUGACAACGAUCGGAUUAUCGACGACGACGACGACGAAGAAGAAGGAGGAGAAAAGGAGGAGAAAAAUGAAGAUACGAAAAAGAAGAGAAGAAGAAGAAGCAUGAGAGGAAGAGGAAGAGGAAGAGGAAGAAGAAGAAGUAGGAGAGGAAGAUGAAGAAGGGUAAAAAUAUCAUUUUACCUUAUUAACUGAUCAUGGUUAAGUAUUUUAACUGUAGUUAACUAGAUUUUUCUAAUAGAGAUUAACGGUAUGGACAUAUCUGAAUGCAUUAGAACUUUUGUAGGAAUAACUUAUGAAUGUUGAACUUUGCAGGAAUAUAUCUGCUAUUUACCAUGUUUGUAGGGACCUGUAUGAUAUUAACCCAAAAUAUUAUUUUCCAACUAUCAAUAGAAUUCCAGCGGCAUUCUUAUUAUUAUUACAUAUGAUUUUGGGGGGNNNNNNNNNNNNNNNNNNNNNNNUAUUUCGUGAACUUCACUUCCUAAUCUUACAAAUACUUUUUUUGUUUUUAAUAAGAUCUACAAAGUCUUAUAUCACAGAAGUAUUAGACGUCUAUAUAAUCGUACAAUAUUAAUUAAACAUAUAUAUUCAGUUUUUGUCAUAUAUUUAAAUAUUCAGGUAUUAAAAAUAUUUUUAAAUUUUUUUUUUAACUCUCUUUCCAUCGUAUGAUGGGUGUAACAAUAAAAAAGUCUUAAUUUAAAUUGAUUUUUAUAUUUUAUUGAUCCGAAGCUUGAACCUAGGAACCUAGGGUUGGUAGUUUAGGAGACGGUGAAUGCAAACGCUCAAACGCUCAGUUUUUUCGUAUCUUAGUGUUUUCGUAUCUUAAUUUAUCUUUCAUAUUUUUUUAAAAAAAUCUUUUCUCUUGGCUCUUUUAUCUUAUUUUGAGACAUAUAUGCGUAAAAGUAAAGUAGUGAAAUUAUUGUUUAGGUUAAAAAGAGCAAGAGAGGGUAAAUUGUAAUAUUGGGAUUGUACAGGGGGCUUUAUGUAUAAGUAGUACUAGUAAGAGAGAGAGAGAAAAGAGAGUGAGAGAAGAGAGAGAGAGAGAGAGAGAGAGAGAGAGAGAGAGAGAGAGGGGUUGGGUAAAAUGGGAAAAAAACGUGAUGAUGAGCUGGAACAACUCAGAAGCCAAAACCCAGGAGUUGGAUCUUUCACUUUCCCCCACUCUCCUUUUCUUUCUUUCUUUCUUUUUUUUUUUUUUUUUUUUUUUUUUUGGUUUUUUUUUUUUAUUUAUUUUUGUUUGUUUCCUUGCUACUGGAUUUUGUGCUCUAAUAAAUAAUCUAAACAAAGUACUGCUAUGAUAAUUAAUUUGAGUUUUAAUUGCAUCCACAGUGUAUAAUGUGCAAAAUUCUGCAAGCAAAAUUAAGGGAAAACUCCAAAUACCCUCAUUGUGGUUUCACUUUUUCUCACUUUAGCACCCUGUAGUUUAAAGUGUAUCAAGUUAGUAUCCUGUGAUUUCACACUUUUUCACUUUAGUACCCUGUGGUUUCGCACUUUAUCACUUUAGUAUCCUAUGGUUUCUCACUUUAUCACUUUAGUACUCUGUGGUUUAAAAACCACAGGGUACUAACUUGAUACAAAAAUAAAACUAUAGGGUACCAACUUGAUGCAAAAAUAAAACCACAUAGUACUAAAGUGAUAAAGUGAUAAACCACAGGGUACUAAUUUGAUAUAUUUUAAACCACAGGAUGCUAAAAUAAAAAAGUGUGAAACCACACGGAUUUUUUUUGAAGUUUUCCCCAAAAUUAAUGAGAAUAUGUAUGACACAAUCACAUUUUUAGUUUUAUCCGACUUUAGAAUUAUGUUGAUCUCUGAAUAAUAUAAUUCACAGUUGCUUCAACCCUGCAGUUUUCACUUCAACCCAAUUUUCAUUCAAACACUAUUUUUCUUAUCCCCAUACUUGUACCUAUUCCUGUAAUAACUAGUUCUUAUUUAUACCCGAACCAAACGGCACCUUAGUAUAAGAGCUCAACUCUAUAUAUAGUGUAAUUGUAACAAUACUUGGCCUACUGUAAAAAACAGUAUCGUCUGAAAAAAAAAAAAUAUUAUUAUUAAAAAUAAAAAUAAAAGUGAAGCACAAACUUAUAUUGUAAUAAGUGUUUGAAAAUCUAAAAUUACAAGAGUUU